GACGAACGCUGGCGGCGUGCUUAACACAUGCAAGUCGAACGGAAAGGCCCUGCUUUUGUGGGGUGCUCGAGUGGCGAACGGGUGAGUAACACGUGAGUAACCUGCCCUUGACUUUGGGAUAACUUCAGGAAACUGGGGCUAAUACCGGAUAGGAGCUCCUGCUGCAUGGUGGGGGUUGGAAAGUUUCGGCGGUUGGGGAUGGACUCGCGGCUUAUCAGCUUGUUGGUGGGGUAGUGGCUUACCAAGGCUUUGACGGGUAGCCGGCCUGAGAGGGUGACCGGCCACAUUGGGACUGAGAGACGGCCCAGACUCCUACGGGAGGCAGCAGUGGGGAAUAUUGCACAAUGGGCGGAAGCCUGAUGCAGCAACGCCGCGUGCGGGAUGACGGCCUUCGGGUUGUAAACCGCUUUCGCCUGUGACGAGGCGUGAGUGACGGUAAUGGGUAAAGAAGCACCGGCUAACUACGUG
rnacentral:rRNA from 1 species